GGCCGAGUGGCGGAAUGGCAGACGCUGGGGACUUAAAAUCCCCUGCCCGUAAGGGCGUGUGGGUUCGACUCCCACCUCGGCUA
rnacentral:tRNA from 1 species